UUAUUUUUUAUAACGAUCUAUAUAGAAAAACAUGUCUAUUCCGAAUGCGAAGUGUACCACUCCAAUUCUUCUCAGUGCAUAUUGAAUAAUGCGUUUAUGGCCAGAUGAAUGACACUUCAGACGUGCGUCCCUGGAGCUGCAGCUUACAACUGGCCACUGGCAACUGCAACUGCAACUGGCCGCAAGCCACCGGCCACGGAGGCCAGAAAGGGGAGGGAAGCUCCGACUCUGCCUCCUGGUGGUGCAUAUUUCAUGCGUAAACUUUGGCUUUGGCUCGGGCAUCCGCCACUAUUCGUCAUUUGUGCCGGGCCAUGUCAGUGCUGUGUUUGAAAGAAAUUCGUUUAAAUUGUCAAUUGUCUGGCCUGUCCGCCGCCCGCCGCUCCCGCUAACGCUGCAGCUCAUCGCCGGAAACUGGUUUCCAGUCAGUCCUAAUGAGGCGCAUCAGUGGAAAAAAAAGGAGUAGAGAACGGGGGUCGCAGCGAUGUGGCCCGAACCCUUUUAGCAUUCAGCCGUGAUGGCUGGUGGCCCCCACAGUGGCUGCAUCUGGAUCCCAGGGCCCUGGUGCGUUUGCAUUUAGCUGGCUAGGCACAUUAAAGUCGAGUCAACUUACCCACCAUUCGAGCGGCAUGUUUAGUGCCCUGCCAGUGGUUCCCAUACCCAAACACACUCCCCUUGAAUCCCAUCAGAUCGCAUCCCAUCCAAACGCACUCCCACCGGAGGGGCCAUUUCCAUUCUGAUUUGGUUUAAGAUUCGGAUCGGAUUCGGAUCCUGCUCACUGGGUGUUGCAAUGUCAUUCCCUGCGUUUUACACACUCGCGCACUUUACAGCGCGGCCAUAAAUAAACUUGUAUCUUUAAGAUAGAAAUAGUCGUAAAAAAUCAGCAAAUGACCCCGAAUCCCUCGCUCACCAAGUCGCGUGAGAGCUUUUAGCCCACUCCAGAGCAGACGAACUAGAACCGAUCACGGAUCCGAGAAUCAUCAAAUGGCCAAAGAGCCAGUUGGGCCAUUUGGGCCAUUCGGACCAUUUGGUCCAUCGGAGAACAGAAGAACAUGUGGCAGGCGACUCCAAAGAGCCCAAGCCACGGCCACUGGCACUGGCCUGGCACUGGAACGAGACAAAAUGUCAAUGGGAGCGUCUUGUUCCUGGCCUGGCGUCUCACCAGACAACAUGCAAAUAGCAAAUAGCGUAUAGCGCAUAGCUAGAUGCCAAGUUGAAGUCGAGGAGGAAUCCGCAGCCCAAGGGGCCCAUGUGGCUAUGCAAUUUAGUCAAAGGCCCUAACGGCAUUUGAGCCAAAUGCGUUUACGUUUACGCAUCCGCUAUAAACUCGUAUGCCGGGUUGUAGCUGCCCCAACCACUGCCGAUUCUCCAAGCGGGGAUCUGGGAGCAGGGCUGGCAGUUUAACCAUUUUAUGGAUAUGGCUGGAAAUUCAGAAAGGGGAUUGAUUAAAGGAACAUGGUUGGAAAGUCACCACAACCGAAUAUUGGAUCCUAAACUGAAUUUUUGAACUUUAUCUCUUACUUAUUCAAAAGUUACAAAUCAAGUAAGUAUAAUAACCAAUUAACUCUCGUCUUAUUUGUUUUCCUUUGUUCCAGUGAUCGAAACAGUGAAAUGGAGUCGGUUUUGGCUUUAAUAUCCCUCAGCACUGAGGAAGAGGUGUUGGCAGCGAACCCAGAACCAGUUGGCAGCGUUAUACUUAGGCUUUAAGCAGGAGCAUGCGACAAAACUGUGCUCUGGGCCGGCUGCUCGGUGGCUGGGUCUGGGUCUGGGGAUCCACUUCCUUCGGAGCUGGGAACUGUUAAUUGGACCCAGCCAGCCCGUCCGCUUCCAGGGGCGUCGGAGUUUGGCAGUGCGUGGCGCACUUAAACGAGGUUAACUGUACUGCAGCAAAGGCAUCGCUCGUCUCUGGGCCGCGGCGCGAAUGUAAUUUCCACUUACGUCAACGCCAGCGCUCCAGGGCCACAGAUCCGAUGGGAGAUCCCAGAUCCGAGCGGUCAAUGCACGCAUUACCUACCAGUUACCAUUUGCCAGAUGCCCAGUUUCCAGCUCCCCACCGCCAGCUUAUCGGGCGGGAAUCGCGCAGCCCCGGCACUUUAGCUCCCAGCUCCCAAACCCCCCCUGCUGCCGCCUGCUCAAAAAAAGCCCAUCAAAUCAGCAACGUGAUGCCGCCCUUGGGGCUCUGGGCCUGCACUCUCUCUAUAAAGCGGUCAUAACAUUUGCACCACAAUAAUAGCUGUAAUGCCAACCCAACGCCGCCUAGCCCCCAUUCAUUCAAGGAUAAUGUUACGGUUAAUGGCGCGUCCGCCGAGUAAUUUAAUUUACUCGUACACUCGCCACAUGCCCCCAACAAACGAACAAGGCGAAUUAUUAUGGCCGAAAAUCGCGACUAGACGGCCGCGCAGACGGUGGCCACAUGGAGCCCCAGAUGGGGCCGCAGAUGCAGAUACAGAUGGAGAUGGAGCUGAAGUUGGAGCUGGAGCUGGAGAUAGCUCAUAUCGCGCCCAUCGGCGAUCGUCAGUCGCCCAAACUUUGGAGAUGAGACAGUGAGGACUGGCAGUCGGCCAAGUUGGCCCGAGCAAAUUGCCGGCAUCUAUUGCUAUAAUUUCCCAGAAACUUUGUAGCGAUGGAAAAUCUAGGCGGAAAUUCGGGAAUUUGGCGAGUUAAUGCGAUCAAAGAUAUAAACACUGAUUGAUAUUGGGUUACAUUUCCGAGGCGUAAUGAAGGGUUAUAUCUUCCCGGAUUAUAUGACUUCGUUGAAAAAUGAAUUCCGAUUGGAAAAUAAAACAUUGUUUGAGAAGAUUCCAUAUUGGUCUAAAAUAUUAAGUUUAUUAGUUGGUAUCAAAACGUAUCCUCAGACCAAAUUUGAUUGUAUAAGUUCUUCUAUGGUAAAUAUAUGAUAAUUAAUAUUACAGAAAUUAAGAGCUUAAGAUCGACUUUUAUUCAAUUUAGUUAACACAGUUCCGAUCUAAACCUAUCUGUAUUAAACUAGGAAUGUGCAAUGGUUUUUAAUUUAAUCAAAAUCGAACAAGUAUAUCACAUGCUAAAUACAGUCGGAAAUGAAUAGAAAACUAAUAAAUAAGAAUGUUGUUUUUGAUCAU